GUAGGUGGCAAGCGUUGUCCGGAAUUAUUGGGCGUAAAGCGCGCGCAGGCGGUCCUUUAAGUCUGAUGUGAAAGCCCACGGCUCAACCGUGGAGGGUCAUUGGAAACUGGGGGACUUGAGUACAGAAGAGGAAAGCGGAAUUCCACGUGUAGCGGUGAAAUGCGCAGAGAUGUGGAGGAACACCAGUGGCGAAGGCGGCUUUCUGGUCUGUAACUGACGCUGAGGCGCGAAAGCGUGGGGAGCAAACAGGGAUUAGAUACCCUGGUAGUCCACGCCGUAAACGAUGAGUGCUAAGUGUUAGGGGGUUUCCGCCCCCUUAGUGCUGCAGCUAACGCAUUAAGCACUCCGCCUGGGGAGUACGGCCGCAAGGCUG
rnacentral:rRNA from 1 species